AUUGAACGCUGGCGGAAUGCUUUACACAUGCAAGUCGAACGGCAGCAUAGGUGCUUGCACCUGAUGGCGAGUGGCGAACGGGUGAGUAAUAUAUCGGAACGUGCCCAGUCGUGGGGGAUAACGUAGCGAAAGCUACGCUAAUACCGCAUACGAUCUACGGAUGAAAGUGGGGGACCUUCGGGCCUCGCGCGAUUGGAGCGGCCGAUAUCAGAUUAGGUAGUUGGUGGGGUAAAGGCUCACCAAGCCAACGAUCUGUAGCUGGUCUGAGAGGACGACCAGCCACACUGGGACUGAGACACGGCCCAGACUCCUACGGGAGUCAGCAGUGGGGAAUUUUGGACAAUGGACGCAAGUCUGAUCCAGCCAUUCCGCGUGCAGGACGAAGGCCUUCGGGUUGUAAACUGCUUUUGUACAGAACGAAAAGGUUUCUACUAAUACUAGGGGCUCAUGACGGUACUGUAAGAAUAAGCACCGGCUAACUACGUGCCAGCCGCCGCCGUAA
rnacentral:rRNA from 1 species